CAAUAGCGUAUAUUAAAGUUGUUGCGGUUAAAAAGCUCGUAGUUGGAUUUCUGCUGAGAACGACCGGUCCGCCCUUUGGGUGUGUAUCUGGCUCUUUCUUGGCAUCUUCUUGGUGAACGUUGCUGCACUUGACUGUGUGGAGCGCUACCCAGGACUUUUACUUUGAGGAAAUUAGAGUGUUUCAAGCAGGCAUACGCCUUGAAUACAUUAGCAUGGAAUAAUAAGAUAGGACCUCGGUUCUAUUUUGUUGGCUUCUAGAGCUGAGGUAAUGAUUAAUAGGGAUAGUUGGGGGCAUUCGUAUUUAACUGUCAGAGGUGAAAUUCUUGGAUUUGUUAAAGACGGACUACUGCGAAANCANNNGCCAAGGAUGUUUUCAUNGA
rnacentral:rRNA from 1 species